ACUAUUGCGCACGUGCUCGAUUCUUCCCCGCCGAAUAUUUCGUUCAGGCGGGAUUUGAUUGGCCCCCGGCUUGUGUCAUGGCAUAAUCUUUUAUCCCGGCUGGAUUCGAUUAACCUGACACAAAGUCGGGAUGUGUUUCGCUGGAACCUUACUACAUCAGGGUCUUUCACAGUGGACUCUAUGUACCGUGCACUCACGCAUUCUGAGGUACCAACGAGUAAUAAUAAGAAAAUUUGA
rnacentral:rRNA from 1 species